rnacentral:rRNA from 1 species
GACGAACGCUGGCGGCGUGCUUAACACAUGCAAGUCGAACGGCAAGGCCCUGCUUUUGUGGGGUGCUCGAGUGGCGAACGGGUGAGUAACACGUGAGUAACCUGCCCUUGACUUGGGGAUAACUUCAGGAAACUGGGGCUAAUACCGGAUAGGAGCUCCUGCUGCAUGGUGGGGGUUGGAAAGUUUCGGCGGUUGGGGAUGGACUCGCGGCUUAUCAGCUUGUUGGUGGGGUAGUGGCUUACCAAGGCUUUGACGGGUAGCCGGCCUGAGAGGGUGACCGGCCACAUUGGGACUGAGAUACGGCCCAGACUCCUACGGGAGGCAGCAGUGGGGAAUAUUGCACAAUGGGCGGAAGCCUGAUGCAGCAACGCCGCGUGCGGGAUGACGGCCUUCGGGUUGUAAACCGCUUUCGCCUGUGACGAAGCGUGAGUGACGGUAAUGGGUAAAGAAGCACCGGCUAACUACGUG